GGGGGCGAAUUGGGUUCGACUGUGGUGAAUGGUACCUGGAUGGCAUGUCGAGGAGCUCAGGCCUCGUUAAAAAGAGCACCAUUUAUACAUGCCGACUAUGAAGCAUUACCUGUAGCAGCAUAAGCUGUCUGCUACCGUUUCUCCCUUUCUUCCCCUGGGAGAGGGAAGAAACGUCGACUACAGGGGAAGCUGUAAGGUUUAUUCCUGAAGGAUCUUACAGUUAAACUAUUCAGGAUAGGCUUUUGAAGCCUGUCUGAGGGCAGAAGGAAGCCGAAAUAAUGAACUCAGGCUAUGCAUGUAGAGGUUCAGGAGGCCACGCUAUGGGACGCGGGUUCGAAACCCGCCGCCUCCAA
rnacentral:tmRNA from 1 species